rnacentral:rRNA from 1 species
UACGUAGGUGGCAAGCGUUGUCCGGAUUUACUGGGCGUAAAGAGCGCGCAGGCGGUCGUUCAAGUCGCGUGUGAAAGCCCCCGGCUCAACUGGGGAGGGUCACGCGAUACUGAUCGACUGGAAGGCAGGAGAGGGUAGUGGAAUUCCCGGUGUAGUGGUGAAAUGCGUAGAUAUCGGGAGGAACACCAGUGGCGAAGGCGGCUUACUGGUCCAUAACUGACGCUGAGGUGCGAAAGCGUGGGGAGCAAACAGGG